GGGGGGAAAAUUAAUAAUAAAUUUGUAAUAAAAAAAUUUUUAAAAUAUAUUUUAAUGGGGGUUAAAGUAUAUAUAUAGAAAUAAUUUUUAAAUUUAUAGUAAAAUAGUAUUAUAAAAGAAUUUAUAAAUAGGGGAAAAUAAUUUAUUAAAAAGUAAAUUUAGUUUAUUGUAUCUUGUGUAUCAGAGUUUAUUAAUAAUAAUUAUUAAUUAAUAAUUUCUCGAAUUUAAAAGAGUUAAUUAAUUAUAAAAGUUAAUGUAGUAUAAUUAUUUUUAAUAAUUAAUUGGAAAUGAAAUGUUAAUCGUUUUUAAAAAUAUCUAGUUUUUUUAGAAAAAAAUUUAAUUUUAAAUAUUAUAUUUAAAAUUUUUAUUUGUGAAAAUUUUAUUAAUUAAUAUUAAAUAUUUUAAGGGAUAAGCUUUAAAAUAAAUUUUUAUAAUAAAUUAUUUAAUUAAAUUAAAAUUAUAAAAUUUAAAUUGUUAUAUAAAUUAUAAUUUUUUAUAAAUAAUUUAAUUUAAAUUAAAAUUUAAGUAAGAAAAAUUUAAAUUUUUAUAAAAAAAUAUAUUUUAAUAAAAUAAAAUUAGAUAUAAUGAUAAAAUUAGUAUAUAAUUUUUUUUUUAGGAAAAUAAUUAUAAAAAGUUAAUUAAAGGAAUUCGGCAAAUUUUAUAUUCACUUGUUUAUCAAAAACAUGUCUUUUUGAAGAUAAUUUAAAGUCUAAUCUGCCCACUGAUAAAAUUAUUAAAGGGCUGCAGUAUUUUGACUGUACAAAGGUAGCAUAAUCAAUAGUCUCUUAAUUGGUGACUUGUAUGAAAGAUUGGAUGAAAUAUAUACUGUCUCUAAUUAAUUUAUAGAAAUUAAUUUUUUAGUAAAAAAGCUAAAAUAAUUUUAAAAGACGAGAAGACCCUAUAGAGUUUAAUAAUUUAUUUAAUUAUAUUUAUUAUAUAAUUUUUAAAAUUAAAAUUAAAUGAAUUAUUUUGUUGGGGUGAUAGAAAAAUUAAAUUAACUUUUUUUAAUUGUUAACAUUAAUUUAUGAUUAAAUGAUCCAUUAAUAAUGAUUAAAAGAAAAAAUUACCUUAGGGAUAACAGCGUAAUUUUUUUUUUUAGUUCAAAUAGGAAAAAAAGUUUGCGACCUCGAUGUUGGAUUAAGAUAAAAUUUAAAUGCAAAAGUUUAAAAUUUUGAUCUGUUCGAUCAUUAAAAUCUUACAUGAUCUGAGUUCAAACCGGUGUAAGCCAGGUUGGUUUCUAUCUUUAAAUAAUUAUAAUAUCUUAGUACGAAAGGAUUAGAUAUUAAAAAUAAUUUUAAUUAGAUGAAUAUUAUUAAUAAUUAAUAAUA
rnacentral:rRNA from 1 species